rnacentral:tRNA from 1 species
CCUUCGAUAGCUCAGUUGGUAGAGCGGAGGACUGUAGAUCCUUAGGUCGCUGGUUCAACUCCAGCUCGAAGGA